rnacentral:rRNA from 1 species
AAGGCGACGACGGGUAGCCGGCCUGAGAGGGUGACCGGCCACACUGGGACUGAGACACGGCCCAGACUCCUACGGGAGGCAGCAGUGGGGAAUAUUGCACAAUGGGCGGAAGCCUGAUGCAGCGACGCCGCGUGAGGGAUGACGGCCUUCGGGUUGUAAACCUCUUUCAGUAGGGAAGAAGCGAGAGUGACGGUACCUGCAGAAGAAGCGCCGGCUAACUACGUGCCAGCAGCCGCGGUAAUACGUAGGGCGCAAGCGUUGUCCGGAAUUAUUGGGCGUAAAGAGCUCGUAGGCGGUUUGUCGCGUCUGCUGUGAAAGCCCGGGGCUCAACCCCGGGUCUGCAGUGGGUACGGGCAGACUAGAGUGCAGUAGGGGAGACUGGAAUUCCUGGUGUAGCGGUGAAAUGCGCAGAUAUCAGGAGGAACACCGAUGGCGAAGGCAGGUCUCUGGGCUGUUACUGACGCUGAGGAGCGAAAGCAUGGGGAGCGAACAGGAUUAGAUACCCUGGUAGUCCAUGCCGUAAA